rnacentral:rRNA from 1 species
AUUGAACGCUGGCGGCAGGCCUAACACAUGCAAGUCGAACGGUAGCACAGAGAGCUUGCUCUCGGGUGACGAGUGGCGGACGGGUGAGUAAUGUCUGGGAAACUGCCCGAUGGAGGGGGAUAACUACUGGAAACGGUAGCUAAUACCGCAUAACGUCGCAAGACCAAAGUGGGGGACCUUCGGGCCUCACACCAUCGGAUGUGCCCAGAUGGGAUUAGCUAGUAGGUGGGGUAAUGGCUCACCUAGGCGACGAUCCCUAGCUGGUCUGAGAGGAGGAUCAGUCACACUGGAACGGAGACACGGGCCAGACUCCUACGGGAGGCAGCAUGGGGGAAUAUUGGGCAAUGGGCGCAAGGCUGAGCCGGCCAUGCCGCGUGUGUGAAGAAGGCCUUCGGGUUGUAAAGCACUUUAAGCGGGGAGGAAGGCCUGAUGGCUAAUAGCCAUCGGGAUUGACGUUACCCGCAGAAUAAGCACCGGCAAACUUCGUGCCAGCAGCCGCAGUAA